UACGUAGGGUGCGAGCGUUGUCCGGAUUUAUUGGGCGUAAAGCGCGCGUAGGCGGCGCGGUAUGUCGUGCGUGAAAUCUCCCGGCUUAACUGGGAGGGGCCGUGCGAAACUGCCGGGCUUGAGGUCGGAAGGGGAAAGUGGAAUUCCGGGUGUAGUGGUGGAAUACGUAGAUAUCCGGAGGAACACCAGCGGCGAAGGCGGCUUUCUGGUCCGAUACUGACGCUGAGGUGCGAAAGCGUGGGGAGCGAUCCGG
rnacentral:rRNA from 1 species